rnacentral:rRNA from 1 species
GACGAACGCUGGCGGCGUGCCUAACACAUGCAAGUCGAACGAACAGACGCCGAGCUUGUUGCUCUGACUUUAGCGGUGGACGAGUGAGUAACACGUCGAUAACCUCCUUAUCAGACUUUGAUGACAACCGGAAACCAGAGCUGAUAACGCAUGAUAUUUUGAACCUCAUGGUUCAAGAGUGAAAGACGGAUUUUCUGUCGCUUAUAGAUGGAUCCGCGCCGCAUUAGCUAGUUGGUAAGGUAACGGCUUACCAAGGCAGCGAUGCGUAGCCGACCUGAGAGGGUGGUGGGCGGCACUGUAACGGAGACACGGCGGCGACUCCUACGGGGGGCGGCAGUAGGGAGUCUUCCGCAAUGGGGGGAAGCCUGACGGAGCAGCGCCGCGUGAGUGAUGAAGGUCUUCGGAUCGUAAAACUCUGUUAUUAGGGAAGAACAAGUGUGUAAGUAACUAUGCACGUCUUGACGGUACCUAAUCAGAAAGCCACGGCUAACUACGUG